GCGGCGGAUUUGAACGGGCCAAUCAGCACACUGCAUCUGAGGACCAGUCGGACUGAGUUUGUACAGAGAGACUUCUCAUCCACCCUUAUCCAUCAGAGCUGCUCUCUUUCUCAGGUAAUGAAGAUGCUCAGAGUGCUGCAAGUGCUACCACACAAGAAUCCAGUGUGCCAGAUGCAGAAGACACAGUCACAGGCGGACCAAAAGAGGUUGAGAUGGAGGCUGUGCCAGCAACAACCUGCCUUAUUGUGUGUGGGUCCUCUUGCUUCACUGCUGACUGCUUCAUGUUGAGCAUUGAUCAGAAGAUUGUCAACGACCACAUCACUGCCUUCCCCUGUGCCAUCUGCCUCAUGUUUGGCAGUUACUAUUGCUUCAAUAUACACUGCCCAGUGGGACUGCGAUCAACACUGGAGUUCCUCCGGAGGUGUUUCUUUUCAAUAAAUCCGGAGAGAGGAACGAAAGUUGAGCACAGCAAAAGGAGGAUGUCUUUGCUGUGAACCCAGGAGUCCUCACACUCAUCGCUGACCUUGCAGACCAUGAGUGGACUUGAGUGGACCAUACUUCGUGAGUCAUGUGAUGUGAGGUGUAAUGUUGUUGUAAUGUUGCAGUAUGUAUGAGUGUACACAGUGUAAGAUGUGUACAUUUUUUCCAUCUUCAUGUACAGCCUUGCAAAUGAGGUGAGGUGGUUGUUUAUGUUGGAGACUUUUUUUUAUAUGUGUGUAUAUAUAAAUAGCAGAUAACACUGAUAACACAAACAAAAAGCAGGGUUCUGGUUUUAUGCUGCACCACUGUCACGGCUUAAUGAACCUGUGGUGAUUUUACUGUUACAAGUUAAAAGAUCUGAACAGCAAGAACAGUCAGUAGCAUUUUAGCUUUUACUUGCUAUUUCAGAAAAGAUACAGUGCUGCCCACAUCUGUUAGAAAGUUCUUAUUACUGUGCAUUUAUGUCAAUUUCAUGUAGUUCUGUGUAUUCGGUGUGUACACAGUGUUGUGAUAAGUUUGUACAGCCUCACAAGUGUUCAUUAAAUGAAAAAUUA